rnacentral:rRNA from 1 species
UGGGGAGCGAACAGGAUUAGAUACCCUGGUAGUCCACGCCGUAAACGGUGGGUACUAGGUGUGGGUUUCCUUCCUUGGGAUCCGUGCCGUAGCUAACGCAUUAAGUACCCCGCCUGGGGAGUACGGCCGCAAGGCUAAAACUCAAAGAAAUUGACGGGGGCCCGCACAAGCGGCGGAGCAUGUGGAUUAAUUCGAUGCAACGCGAAGAACCUUACCUGGGUUUGACAUGCACAGGACGCCGGCAGAGAUGUCGGUUCCCUUGUGGCCUGUGUGCAGGUGGUGCAUGGCUGUCGUCAGCUCGUGUCGUGAGAUGUUGGGUUAAGUCCCGCAACGAGCGCAACCCUUGUCUCAUGUUGCCAGCGGGUAAUGCCGGGGACUCGUGAGAGACUGCCGGGGUCAACUCGGAGGAAGGUGGGGAUGACGUCAAGUCAUCAUGCCCCUUAUGUCCAGGGCUUCACACAUGCUACAAUGGCCGGUACAAAGGGCUGCGAUGCCGUGAGGUGGAGCGAAUCCUUGUUAAAGCCGGUCUCAGUUCGGAUCGGGGUCUGCAACUCGACCCCGUGAAGUCGGAGUCGCUAGUAAUCGCAGAUCAGCAACGCUGCGGUGAAUACGUUCCCGGGCCUUGUACACACCGCCCGUCACGUCAUGAAAGUCGGUAACACCCGAAGCCGGUGGCCUAACCGUAAGGGAG